GCGGCGCACGGUGUCGACAUUCAGGAUGCCGGCGAGAGGGCCGCGAGCUCCGCGGUCCACCACUCAGGCGGCGCGCUGUCACUUCGCCGCCGCCGCCGCAGCCGCACCGCCGC
rnacentral:snoRNA from 1 species